GCGGACAUGCACGUGAUAGGUGCUGGGGAAUAACCAGAGUCAAACAGCAGGAUGAAGCUGAAAGCUGCGUCGUUCCUAUACGCAUUCCUCUUCCUGCCCUGUAAUGCUGUCGAUCUGAGAUGUACCGUCAAGAGCAAUGGCACCGGGAUGGUUCACACUAUCUUGUUAGAGUCUUUUGCCUCAGACUUCCAGUCAACCGAAUGUGAUUUUUCAUGGAGCAACGAAACUAUUGUACUCGCAAUCAACUCGGACAAACACGCCACUGUGACGACAAACAGCUUCAACGUUCUGGAGACAUCUGGUUGCCACGCCUAUAUUUUGUGGAUGGGACAGUGCU